UGGUUCUGGCAUCGAUGAAGAACGCAGCGAAAUGCGAUAAGUAAUGUGAAUUGCAGAAUUCAGUGAAUCAUCGAAUCUUUGAACGCACAUUGCGCCUAUUAGUAUUCUAAUAGGCAUGCCUGUUCGAGCGUCAUUUCACCCCUCAAGCUUCAUUGCUU
rnacentral:rRNA from 1 species